rnacentral:rRNA from 1 species
GGAUUGGGAGGGUUCUACGGAUCCCGUUUGGUGAAUCUAGUGCCGAGAAAAGCCCUCUAUGUGUUGAAUUUCUAGUACCCGUACCCCAAACCGACACAGGUGGGUGGGUAGAGCAUACCUAGGGGCGCGUGAUAACUCUCUCUAAGGAACUCGGCAAAAUGGCCCUGUAACUUCGGGAUAAGGGGUGCCUGCGUGAGCAGGCCGCAGUGAAAUGGCUCUGGCGACUGUUUACCAAAAACACAGGUCUCUGCUAAGUCGUAAGACGAUGUAUAGGGGCUGACUCCUGCCCAGUGCCGGAAGGUUAAGGAAGUUGGUUAGCGCAAGCGAAGCUGGCGACCGAAGCCCCGGUGAACGGCGGCCGUAACUAUAACGGUCCUAAGGUAGCGAAAUUCCUUGUCGGGUAAGUUCCGACCCGCACGAAAGGAGUAACGAUCAGAGCGCUGUCUCGGAGAGAGACACGGCGAAAUAGGAUUGUCCGUGAAGAUACGGACUACCUGCACCCGGACAGAAAGACCCUAUGAAGCUUUACUGUAACUUGGAAUUGUGUUCGGACUUUGUCUGCGCAGAAUAGGUGGGAGGCUAUGAAACGUUCCUCGCGGGGAACUGGAGCCAUCGUUGAGAUACCACUCUGGCAGAGUCUGGAUUCUAACCUACGGGGACAGUUCCAGGUGGGCAGUUUGACUGGGGCGGUCGCCUCCUAAAAUGUAACGGAGGCGCGCAAAGGUUCCCUCAGGCUGGUUGGAAAUCAGCCAUAGAGUGUAAAAGCAUAAGGGAGCUUGACUGUGAGACCUACAAGUCGAGCAGGGACGUAAGUCGGCUUUAGUGAUCCGACGGCACUGAGUGGAAGGGCCGUCGCUCAACGGAUAAAAGUUACUCUAAGGAUAACAGGCUGAUCUCCCCCAAGAGUUCACAUCGACGGGGAGGUUUGGCACCUCGAUGUCGGCUCGUCGCAACCUGGGGCGGUAGUACGUCCCAAGGGUUGGGCUGUUCGCCCAUUAAAGCGGCACGUGAGCUGGGUUCAGAACGUCGUGAGACAGUUCGGUCCAUAUCCGGUGUAGGCGUAGGAGCAUUGAAAGGAUCUCUCCUAGUACGAGAGGACCGGGAGGGACGUACCUCUGGUGUACCUGUUAUCGUGCCAACGGUAAACGCAGGGUAGCCAUGUACGGAGUGGAUAACCGCUGAAAGCAUCUAAGUGGGAAGCCCACCUUAAGAUGAGUGCUCCCUUGAGGCCACGGGAAGACGACCCGUUUGAUAUGCGCUAGGUGGAAGUGCAGUAAUGCAUGCAGCCGAGGCGUACUAAUAGGCCGAUGGCUUGUUC